rfam:Stegodyphus mimosarum contig108143, whole genome shotgun sequence.
GCCUUCGGAGUGUAGUGGUCUGCAUGUUCGACGCGUAACCGAGAGGUCCGUGGUUCGAUUCCCGGCGAAGGCG